AUUGAACGCUGGCGGCAUGCCUUACACAUGCAAGUCGAACGGUAACAGGUUAAGCUGACGAGUGGCGAACGGGUGAGUAAUACAUCGGAACGUGCCCAGACGUGGGGGAUAGCUCGGCGAAAGCCGGAUUAAUACCGCAUAAGCUCUGAGGAUGAAAGCGGGGGACCGUCAGGCCUCGCGCGUUUGGAGCGGCCGAUGGCAGAUUAGGUGGUUGGUGGGGUAAAGGCUUACCAAGCCUACGAUCUGUAGCUGGUCUGAGAGGACGACCAGCCACACUGGGACUGAGACACGGCCCAGACUCCUACGGGAGGCAGCAGUGGGGAAUUUUGGACAAUGGGCGAAAGCCUGAUCCAGCAAUGCCGCGUGCAGGAUGAAGGCCUUCGGGUUGUAAACUGCUUUUGUACGGAACGAAAAGGCGCCUACUAAUACUGGGUGUUGAUGACGGUACCGUAAGAAUAAGCACCGGCUAACUACGUGCCAGCCGCCGCCGUAAAAC
rnacentral:rRNA from 1 species